rnacentral:rRNA from 1 species
GACGAACGCUGGCGGCGUGCUUAACACAUGCAAGUCGAACGGUGAAGGGGUCUGCUUUUGUGGGCCCUGGAUGAGUGGCGAACGGGUGAGUAACACGUGAGUAACCUGCCCCCUUCUUCUGGAUAACCGCAUGAAAGUGUGGCUAAUACGGGAUAUUCUGGGUCUGUCGCAUGAUGGGUCUGGGAAAGCUUGCGCCUUUGGGUGUUUUUGGUGGGGGAUGGGCUCGCGGCCUAUCAGCUUGUUGGUGGGGUGAUGGCCUACCAAGGCGGUGACGGGUAGCCGGCCUGAGAGGGUGGACGGUCACACUGGGACUGAGACACGGCCCAGACUCCUACGGGAGGCAGCAGUGGGGAAUAUUGCACAAUGGGCGCAAGCCUGAUGCAGCGACGCCGCGUGAGGGAUGGAGGCCUUCGGGUUGUAAACCUCUUUCGCCAGUGAAGCAGGCCUGCUCCUUGUGGGUGGGUUGACGGUAGCUGGAUAAGAAGCGCCGGCUAACUACGUG